rnacentral:rRNA from 1 species
CCUACGGGGGGCUGCAGUGAGGAAUAUUGGUCAAUGGGCGAGAGCCUGAACCAGCCAAGUCGCGUGAGGGAGUACUGCCCUAUGGGUUGUAAACCUCUUUUGUCGGGGAGCAAAAGCCGGACGUGUCCGGCUGUGAGAGUACCCGAAGAAAAAGCAUCGGCUAACUCCGUGCCAGCAGCCGCGGUAAUACGGAGGAUGCGAGCGGUAUCCGGAUUUAUUGGGGUUAAAGGGUGCGCAGGCGGAUUUUUAAGUCAGCGGUCAAAUCGUGGGGCUCAACCCCAUCCAGCCGUUGAAACUGGGGAUCUAGAGUGUGCGAGAGGUAUGCGGAAUGCGUGGUGUAGCGGUGAAAUGCAUAGAUAUCACGCAGAACCCCGAUUGCGAAGGCAGCAUACCGGUGCACAACUGACGCUCAGGCACGAAAGCGUGGGUAUCGAACAGGAUUAGAUACCCUAGUAGUC